rnacentral:lncRNA from 10 species
CAAUUUACCUGUUUUGGUCACUCGAGGCUGCCCUAUCACAGAGGACUUCCACUUGUCAAGAACUUCUAUUCUGUUUCUACAUGGGACUUCUCCAAGCUCUGUCUGGGUUCUGCUGUCAAUGGUGUUGUCCAGUAAGUAUCCCCAGGCAGAAAUAAGAGGCUAUUGUAGGGGUUGCAUUGUUUGUGUCUCUUCUCAACUGGAGAAAAACAGUCCUUAGCUGCUGAUUGUCUAAUGUUUGAAAAUGAUUUUUUAUAUAGUUUGUCUAGUUUUCUAGUUGUUUAUAGUGGAAUCAGUCAUUAGCUCCUGAUUAGAAUCUCUCAUCUACUGAACUUUUUAUUUUAAUUUAAAACUUCUUAAAAUGUUAUAUUUUAAUUUUGUUACAGAAUAUAGUAAUACAUUAUCCUAGUGUAAAAUUUAAAAGGUAAGUAAUACAUAGUAAAAAAAAAUUCCUCCCACUUUCACUCCCGGAAGUAACUGAUGUUACAAAAUUUUUCUGUCUUUUAAAGUUAUUAUAUGUAUCUACAAAACAAAACACAGGAAACUAGCCAUAAUAAAAUAAUGGGGUCUAAAGGAAUUCAAUCACAUAAAAUGUUAGGUCAAAUUUAUUGUGAGAUUAAUAAAAAUUAUACUUUUGUUAAACUAUUUCUCUCACAAAAAGCACAAAAUGAUUGUGAAACUUACAGCACACGUUGCUGACUAGUGAACUGAGUAACCGCCAUUGAUUGUGAGGCAGUGACUUCUAUGUCCUCUUCCCCAUCUCAUUACUUACAAGUCAUGUAUAAGAGUCUCCUUUGUUCUAUAAUUUCUCUGACAGUUGUGAUUGAAAUUUUCAAUUUUUGUCAAGCUGGCUAAUGUAAAACAUCAUCCUGUUCUAUGUUUAAUAGCAUUUCCCUGAUUACUAAUAUGAAGCAUUAUAUAUUGCCUAUUCAUGUUUCAUAUUUUGUAUAAUGUCUAUAUCCUUUGUUCAUUAUUUAAUUGUGUUAUUUGUAUUCUUUAUGUAUUAUUCUUUAACACAUUGCUGUUUAUAUGUUGGUUAUAUUUUACAUUUUCUUCUAGUUUAUGGGAAGUCUUUUUCUUUUCCUAAGGCAAUCUGUUGAUAAAUAUAACCUGUGAAUAUUAAAGUUAUUAAAGUUAUCAAACAUUUGAGAUAAAUUUAUUCAUUAGCUCUUUAUGAGUUAUUGGUUUUUUUCAGGUUAAAAGAAAUAACUUCUUUUUUUGUUUUUUGAUGUGAAGAACUUGGUGGAGAAAUUAAAAUUUCAGAUGCAGAAAAAGAAGCAAGAAAAUUUCUGGAAUGACAGGCAUGAGUAGAUAACAGGUGUGAUGGUUAAUACUGAGUGUCACCUUGCUUGGAUUGAAGGGUGCAAAGUAUUGUUCCUGGGUGUGUCUGUGAGGGUGUCACCAAAGGAGAUUAACAGUUGAGUCAGUGAACUGGGAGAUGCAGACCCACCCUCAGUCUGGGUGGUCACCCUCUAAUCAGCUGCCAGCACAGCUAGGAUAAAAGCAG